CUUUAGAAAAAAGAAACUCCUACAUCAUUGACUUCGAUGAUAAUUAUGUUUGAUCUGAUUUGCAGCUGCAUGAAAAAGACGACCAGUAAUCACCUUCAAAAGAAAAUAUCAAAAUUUCAGAAGACUGUGGACAUCCAAUCAGCAAUAAUGAUGUCAAGGAUAAUGUGUUACCAAUAUUAGUAAGGCCAGGACAUAUUCGCUUUGAGCCCUUUGAAGAAGAUGCAGAGCAAGCUGUCCAAGAAAGUCAGAUUUCAGUGAAAACCUUUCAAUGGAAUGGAAUAACCAGCAAGAAGAAGGGU